GAUGAGAGGCCGUCUCUCCACGUUCCCAGAGUUACACUGCGCUGAAACCGCACUUUCCAUGUGCACACGGUCGACAGUUCGGUUGGAGCCGAUUUGCAAACAUGAAAGAGAACAUACAACAAAACGUAGUGCGCCUUACUGCGCUGCCACGAUAAUUUUAUAGAGGCCGUGUGAUGCCGUACGCCAGAUCUGGGUGGGGUAAUUGAAGCCAGACUCCGGGUCUUUGAGACAUUUUUACAGCAAAGUGGGUCAGUGGUAGAACAGCGCUGUUAGUGUGCAGCGCUGGAAGAAACCUUCAGAAAACCCGGCUUCGUACAUGCAGAAACACUUACACCUGGAUCAUCCACUGAACUGCUUUGGUGGAAGUUCUGGGAACCGGGGAGUCCAGCUGAGAAAGCAAACAAUGAUUCCGAUUCGGAAGCAAACGUAUGGCAACGGCGUGACGUCCGACUUCGCCACCAGCAGAAACUCCUUUUGCCUUUAAAGCAAACACUGCUUCUGAGGUCGUCUAAAACACGUGGAGUUGCUCUGAUAAACAGCUCAGUGUUAUGUAAAGUGAAGCGUCUGUACCUGUAGUAAAGCAGCUCAGACUCCAUCUGGACCACAUGCCUCUGCAGCGCCGGAACACGACUGGCCUUCGCUUCCAGGUCCUUCACCUUCUCCAGUCCGCUCAGCAGAGCCUGCCGGGCCUCCUCCACCUUCCUCCUCAUGCUCGCCUGCUCCGUCUUCAGAAGCCUGUUGCUGUCUUCCAAUGCAGCGACGGCCUCCUUACAGCUCCACAGUUCCUGUUCCAGUCUCUGGUUGCGCGACACUGUCUCCUCCACCUGCCAUUCUCUGGAGCUGUGCAGGUACUCAAUCUCUUGGAUGAGGUUCUGCAGGCUCUUGAAGUUGCUGUUGGAGCUGUUGGCCAUGUUGUUGUGGGAGGCCAGCGUACGCGGGGAAACCAAACGUCCUUCUCUUGGUUUAUGCUUGGCGUGGCUUUUCCAGAGGCCGACCUGCGAUGUAAAGAGAGGAGAUGAAGAUAAUCCCACAAACUGACUAAACUUUGUGUUGUUUGACAAAGUUCAUUUAAGGAAUAUUUCAGAUUGAAACAGUCCUUGAGUUUGUAAAUGCAAGGGACUGGAACAUCAUGAGCUUUAAAGAGCUCAAAUGGUGUUGACAAGUGGAGUGAUGGCGAUCUUUUUUUUCUUCUUUCAUCUCCACAAUACCUCAAUCAUACGCUGUUUACUUCAAGACUUUUAAUCUCCUCUAAAAAAAUACAUAUUUACAUUAACUUCAAAUAUGCUUUCAAGUCAAUCACUACAUCCACUUUAACAUCUUUCAUUGGAUGGAAAUAACGUUAAGAAAUAAUUACUCUUCUGCAUUAGAGCAUAACCUGUAACAAUGGCAGCUCACUUCAGAAGUCACACAGCAAAAAAAUUACAGAAAAAAAUCUAAAAGUAUAUUCUGAAAAAAAAGUGUUGUAUUUUCAAUGUAAUCUUAAAAAUAAAAAGCAACAGUCUCAGAAAUACACUUUAAAAAAAAUGUGUGGUUUGACAUAAAGCUGUACUUGA